CCUACGGGAGGCAGCAGUGGGGAAUAUUGCACAAUGGGCGCAAGCCUGAUGCAGCCAUGCCGCGUGUGUGAAGAAGGCCUUCGGGUUGUAAAGCACUUUCAGCGGGGAGGAAGGCGGUGAGGUUAAUAACCUCAUCGAUUGACGUUACCCGCAGAAGAAGCACCGGCUAACUCCGUGCCAGCAGCCGCGGUAAUACGGAGGGUGCAAGCGUUAAUCGGAAUUACUGGGCGUAAAGCGCACGCAGGCGGUCUGUCAAGUCGGAUGUGAAAUCCCCUGGCUCAACCUGGGAACUGCAUUCGAAACUGGCAGGCUAGAGUCUUGUAGAGGGGGGUAGAAUUCCAGGUGUAGCGGUGAAAUGCGUAGAGAUCUGGAGGAAUACCGGUGGCGAAGGCGGCCCCCUGGACAAAGACUGACGCUCAGGUGCGAAAGCGUGGGGAGCAAACAGGAUUAGAUACCCUAGUAGUC
rnacentral:rRNA from 1 species